rnacentral:lncRNA from 1 species
UAAAUUAUGUAAAAUGUAGCAUUUAAGAUAAUUUGUGGCUUUAAUAAUAUUAAUUUGAGAUGAGAUUUGUUUAAGUCAGUGAGUGUCAGGCUUACUACGGGUUUCGGUGGCCUUACGCCUACCCAUUCCCUAGUGCCGGUCACGGGCCCACGGGUGGGGUCGUGACAAUAGGUGUAUUAAAGUAUCAUUAAGGUGGUAAGGUGGUGUAUUAAAGUAUUUAAUUAAAUAUUUAUUUUUCAAUUUCUUGUGCCAUUACAUAUUCCCCUCCC